rnacentral:sRNA from 12 species
CGUUUAGAGAUUGUCACUGCCAUUAACCACGUGAGUGGAUAUGGGAAUACAAUUGUUGA